rnacentral:rRNA from 1 species
CGUGAAAUCGAGUAGGGCGGGACACGUGAUAUCCUGUCUGAAUAUGGGGGGACCAUCCUCCAAGGCUAAAUACUCCUGACUGACCGAUAGUGAACCAGUACCGUGAGGGAAAGGCGAAAAGAACCCCUGUGAGGGGAGUGAAAUAGAACCUGAAACCGUGUACGUACAAGCAGUAGGAGCACCUUCGUGGUGUGACUGCGUACCUUUUGUAUAAUGGGUCAGCGACUUAUAUUCAGUGGCAAGGUUAACCGUAUAGGGGAGCCGUAGCGAAAGCGAGUCUUAACUGGGCGCUCAGUCUCUGGAUAUAGACCCGAAACCGGGUGAUCUAGCCAUGGGCAGGUUGAAGGUUGAGUAACAUCAACUGGAGGACCGAACCGACUAAUGUUGAAAAAUUAGCGGAUGACUUGUGGCUAGGGGUGAAAGGCCAAUCAAACUCGGAGAUAGCUGGUUCUCCCCGAAAGCUAUUUAGGUAGCGCCUCGGACGAAUACUACUGGGGGUAGAGCACUGUUAAGGCUAGGGGGUCAUCCCGACUUACCAACCCUUUGCAAACUCCGAAUACCAGUAAGUACUAUCCGGGAGACACACGGCGGGUGCUAACGUCCGUCGUGGAGAGGGAAACAACCCAGACCGCCAGCUAAGGUCCCAAAGUAUUGCUAAGUGGGAAACGAUGUGGGAAGGCUCAGACAGCUAGGAUGUUGGCUUAGAAGCAGCCAUCAUUUAAAGAAAGCGUAAUAGCUCACUAGUCGAGUCGGCCUGCGCGGAAGAUGUAACGGGGCUAAGCAAUACACCGAAGCUGCGGCAAUGUCUUUUAGACAUUGGGUAGGGGAGCGUUCUGUAAGCCGUUGAAGGUGAAUCGUAAGGUUUGCUGGAGGUAUCAGAAGUGCGAAUGCUGACAUGAGUAACGACAAAGGGGGUGAAAAACCUCCUCGCCGGAAGACCAAGGGUUCCUGUCCAACGUUAAUCGGGGCAGGGUGAGUCGACCCCUAAGGUGAGGCCGAAAGGCGUAAUCGAUGGGAAACGGGUUAAUAUUCCCGUACUUCUGACUAUUGCGAUGGGGGGACGGAGAAGGCUAGGUGGGCCAGGCGACGGUUGUCCUGGUUCAAGUGCGUAGGCUUGAGAGUUAGGUAAAUCCGGCUCUCUCUAAGGCUGAGACACGACGUCGAGCUACUACGGUAGUGAAGUCAUUGAUGCCAUGCUUCCAGGAAAAGCCUCUAAGCUUCAGAUAGUCAGGAAUCGUACCCCAAACCGACACAGGUGGUCGGGUAGAGAAUACCAAGGCGCUUGAGAGAACUCGGGUGAAGGAACUAGGCAAAAUGGUACCGUAACUUCGGGAGAAGGUACGCUCUUGAUGGUGAAGUCCCUCGCGGAUGGAGCUGACGAGAGUCGCAGAUACCAGGUGGCUGCAACUGUUUAUUAAAAACACAGCACUGUGCAAAAUCGCAAGAUGACGUAUACGGUGUGACGCCUGCCCGGUGCCGGAAGGUUAAUUGAUGGGGUUAGCGCAAGCGAAGCUCUUGAUCGAAGCCCCGGUAAACGGCGGCCGUAACUAUAACGGUCCUAAGGUAGCGAAAUUCCUUGUCGGGUAAGUUCCGACCUGCACGAAUGGCGUAAUGAUGGCCACGCUGUCUCCACCCGAGACUCAGUGAAAUUGAAAUCGCUGUGAAGAUGCAGUGUACCCGCGGCUAGACGGAAAGACCCCGUGAACCUUUACUACAGCUUGGCACUGAACAUUGAACCUACAUGUGUAGGAUAGGUGGGAGGCUAUGAAGACGUGACGCCAGUUGCGUUGGAGCCGUCCUUGAAAUACCACCCUUGUAUGUUUGAUGUUCUAACUUAGACCCAUUAUCUGGGUUGAGGACAGUGCCUGGUGGGUAGUUUGACUGGGGCGGUCUCCUCCCAAAGAGUAACGGAGGAGCACGAAGGUGGGCUAAUCACGGUUGGACAUCGUGAGGUUAGUGCAAUGGCAUAAGCCCGCUUAACUGCGAGAAUGACGGUUCGAGCAGGUGCGAAAGCAGGUCAUAGUGAUCCGGUGGUUCUGUAUGGAAGGGCCAUCGCUCAACGGAUAAAAGGUACUCCGGGGAUAACAGGCUGAUACCGCCCAAGAGUUCAUAUCGACGGCGGUGUUUGGCACCUCGAUGUCGGCUCAUCACAUCCUGGGGCUGAAGUCGGUCCCAAGGGUAUGGCUGUUCGCCAUUUAAAGUGGUACGCGAGCUGGGUUUAGAACGUCGUGAGACAGUUCGGUCCCUAUCUGCCGUGGGCGUUGGAAGAUUGAAGGGGGCUGCUCCUAGUACGAGAGGACCGGAGUGGACGAACCUCUGGUGUUCGGGUUGUGUCGCCAGACGCAUUGCCCGGUAGCUAAGUUCGGAAUUGAUAAGCGCUGAAAGCAUCUAAGCGCGAAGCGAGCCCUGAGAUGAGUCUUCCCUGACAGUUUAACUGUCCUAAAGGGUUGUUCGAGACUAGAACGUUGAUAGGCAGGGUGUGUAAGCGUUGUGAGGCGUUGAGCUAACCUGUACUAAUUGCCCGUGAGGCUUAACCAU